rnacentral:rRNA from 1 species
UACGAAGGGGGCUAGCGUUGUUCGGAUUUACUGGGCGUAAAGCGCACGUAGGCGGGUUGUUAAGUCAGGGGUGAAAUCCUGGAGCUCAACUCCAGAACUGCCUUUGAUACUGGCAACCUAGAGGCUGGAAGAGGUUAGUGGAAUUCCCAGUGUAGAGGUGAAAUUCGUAGAUAUUGGGAAGAACACCAGUGGCGAAGGCGGCUAACUGGUCCAGACUCUGACGCUGAGGUGCGAAAGCGGUGGGGAGCAAACAGG